ACCCGMSCAGAKUUUGAUCCUGGCUCAGGACGAACGCUGGCGGCGUGCUUAACACAUGCAAGUCGAACGGUGAAGCUCCAGCUUGCUGGAGUGGAUCAGUGGCGAACGGGUGAGUAACACGUGAGCAACCUGCCCCUGACUCUGGAAUAAGCGCUGGAAACGGCGUCUAAUACUGGAUACGAGAAGGGUCCGCAUGGGCACUUUCUGGAAAGUUUUUCGGUUGGGGAUGGGCUCGCGGCCUAUCAGCUUGUUGGUGAGGUAAUGGCUCACCAAGGCGACGACGGGUAGCCGGCCUGAGAGGGCGACCGGCCACACUGGGACUGAGACACGGCCCAGACUCCUACGGGAGGCAGCAGUGGGGAAUAUUGCACAAUGGGCGAAAGCCUGAUGCAGCGACGCCGCGUGAGGGAUGACGGCCUUCGGGUUGUAAACCUCUUUCAGCAGGGAAGAAGCGAAAGUGACGGUACCUGCAGAAGAAGCACCGGCUAACUACGUGCCAGCAGCCGCGGUAAUACGUAGGGUGCGAGCGUUGUCCGGAAUUAUUGGGCGUAAAGAGCUUGUAGGCGGUUUGUCGCGUCUGCUGUGAAAAUCCGGGGCUCAACCCCGGACUUGCAGUGGGUACGGGCAGACUAGAGUGUGGUAGGGGAGACUGGAAUUCCUGGUGUAGCGGUGAAAUGCGCAGAUAUCAGGAGGAACMCCGAUGGCGAAGGCAGGUCUCUGGGCCACUMCUGACKCUGAGAAGCGAAAGCAUGGGGAGCGAACAGGAUUARAUACCCUGGUAGUCCAUGCCGUAAACGUUGGGCGCUAGGUGUGGGACUCAUUCCRCGAGUUCCGUGCCGCAGCUARCGCAUKRAGCGCCCCCGCMCG
rnacentral:rRNA from 1 species